rnacentral:rRNA from 1 species
CCUACGGGAGGCAGCAGUGGGGAAUAUUGGGCAAUGGAGGAAACUCUGACCCAGCAACGCCGCGUGAAUGAUGAAGGUCUUCGGAUUGUAAAGUUCUUUUCUAAGGGAAGAAGACCGUGACGGUCCCUUAGUAAUAAGCCUCGGCUAACUACGUGCCAGCAGCCGCGGUACUACGUAGGAGGCGAGCGUUAUCCGGAAUGACUGGGCGUAUAGGGUGCGUAGGUGGGUUGGCAAGUUAGUAGCGUAACUCCAAGGCUCAACCUUGGAACUACUACUAAAACUGUUGGACUUGAGUGCAGGAGGGGCAACCGGAAUUCCUAGUGUAGCGGUGGAAUGCGUAGAUAUUAGGAGGAACACCAGUGGCGAAGGCGGGUUGCUAGACUGUAACUGACACUGAGGCACGAAAGCGUGGGGAGCAAACAGGAUUAGAUACCCCAGUAGUC